GUCCAUGCCGUAAACGAUGUCAACUAGCCGUUGGGCUCCUUGAGGGCUUAGUGGCGCAGCUAACGCGAUAAGUUGACCGCCUGGGGAGUACGGUCGCAAGACUAAAACUCAAAUGAAUUGACGGGGGCCCCGCACAAGCGGUGGAGCAUGUGGUUUAAUUCGAUGCAACGCGAAGAACCUUACCUGGCCUUGACAUGUCUGGAAUCCUGCAGAGAUGCGGGAGUGCCUUCGGGAAUCAGAACACAGGUGCUGCAUGGCUGUCGU
rnacentral:rRNA from 1 species